rnacentral:misc_RNA from 1 species
GAUGAAGAACGCAGCGAAAUGCGAUAAGUAAUGUGAAUUGCAGAAUUCAGUGAAUCAUCGAAUCUUUGAACGCACCUUGCGCUCCUUGGCAUUCCGAGGAGCAUGCCUGUUUGAGUGUCAUUAAAUUCUCAAGACCUGUCUGCUUUUUUGAUAGGUAUUGGAUUUUGGGGGUUGCAGGCUGUUUCAAAUAAAUAGCCUUGCUCUCCUUGAAUGUAUUAGUGGAGAAAAGCCAUUGAACUCUAUUGGUGUGAUAAAACCUAUCAAUGCCAGGAGCAAUAUCACUACUUCUCUCUGCUGUCUAACUGUGACUGUCUGUAUUAAUUAGUAUGGAUGGGGACAACUUGACCAACUUGACCUCAAAUCAGGUAGGACUACCCGCUGAACUUAAGCAUAUCAAUAAGCGGAGGA